GCUCACUUCGGUAGCGCAUGUACUGAAAGGGGGACAACACAGAGAAGACCAGCAAGGUCCCUGCACAAGGGUGACGCACAAGUUUGCGCACAGGUCCAUGUUUCU
ensembl:snRNA U6 U6 spliceosomal RNA